rnacentral:rRNA from 1 species
AUUGAACGCUGGCGGCAGGCCUAACACAUGCAAGUCGAACGGUAACAGGAAGAAGCUUGCUUCUUUGCUGACGAGUGGCGGACGGGUGAGUAAUGUCUGGGAAACUGCCUGAUGGAGGGGGAUAACUACUGGAAACGGUAGCUAAUACCGCAUAACGUCGCAAGACCAAAAAGGGGGACCUUCGGGCCUCUUGCCAUCGGAUGUGCCCAGAUGGGAUUAGCUAGUAGGUGGGGUAACGGCUCACCUAGGCGACGAUCCCUAGCUGGUCUGAGAGGAUGGCCAGCCACACUGGAACUGAGACACGGUCCAGACUCCUACGGGAGGCAGCAGUGGGGAAUAUUGCACAAUGGGCGCAAGCCUGAUGCAGCCAUGCCGCGUGUAUGAAGAAGGCCUUCGGGUUGUAAAGUACUUUCAGCGGGGAGGAAGGGAGUAAAGUUAAUACCUUUGCUCAUUGACGUUACCCGCAGAAGAAGCACCGGCUAACUCCGUG